GUCACUGGGAAAGGCCUUUCGGAUCUCACAGAAGCAUGACUGAACCAAUGUUUAACUUUUACCCCUAAGAGAGGGCCAAUCCAGAAAGAACCUUUGACUUGGUAUUGAAAGUGAAAUGUCAUGGCUCUGAAAAUGAAGAUCCUGUGGUUUUGUGGAAAUUCCCAGAGGACUUUGGAGACCAGAUGCCAGAACGCUAGCGAGUCAGAACAUUGUGAUCAUCCUUUGUGGAAACAAGAAGGACCUGGAUGCAGAUCGCGAAGUUACGUUCAUAGAAGC